CCAGCCUCCUCCCCAACCCUCCCAUAAGAGCCCCAGGACUCUCACCGCAUGCAUGACUCACUACUUCAUAACGGAGAACUCUGCAAGCACUUCAGUCAUCCCUGAAGUCACUCAGACCAGAUGCUCGAGGCAAGCAACGCGGCUAUUUUAGGAAGUCAGUUUCGAGGAAAUGGUGACGUCAUACAGCGGAAUUUAGAUUGCACUACACUUCCUGGAAACUAACUCUUAACUUCUUAGUAUUUCUCUCCCGUCUCUGGCAAAGAGGAAAUACAUUACCCCAGCGUAGUUUGCAGACUUUGGUUGCAAACAACGUUUCUUCGCGUGGGCAGGCCUUAAAAGUGUGCGGCCAGAAAGGCAGGACACGCGAGCGAAUCCCGGCCGGAUUCCAAGAAGCGUUGCUUCCAACGAAAGCGGAUGUCCUCUCACUGGAGUCGCAUAUUUCCAUCAACCCGAUGAGCAGAAGACAUCCGGUAUCUCCUCAUCCAUUCUGCCUUUCCUGGGGGCCCUUCCAAUUCUGCGAGACAGCCAGACAGUGAACGUUAUACCAAGGUCAUGAGAUGGCCCAGAUGGCUGAAACGGAUCGAGUUGCCAGGUUGCACCUUUUUGUUCCGCUUCAAAAUGAAGGUCACCAGUCGGGGAAGGACGGCGGACGAUCAACUUAUUAUUUUCUCACCAAUGCAAGCAAACACGAUGCCCCUCAGCUCAAGGUUGUUGUAGCUAAAAACCUCCCUGGAAUGAGACCUGCAUUUCAAACAGAAGUGUUCCGAGAUUGAGAUAAACCUAAACUUAAUUUCCUAAUGAAGUGGCAAAGUUGCAACAGACUCGAGUACAAGUAGUACACGUAUGUGAUUUGGAAGGACGAGGAAGGGACGUGUAUAGGACAAGUAGGUGACGCAGAGAGAGGGAGGUUACCAUCCCACCCGCACCAUCAACACACAGUCUGUUGCUUCAAUUUGUCCGCAGUAUGUCGAAGAAACGGAAGUGGAAUGACGACUGUCAAGUACGGCUUCACUUGUGCUACAGAAGGAUGAAACACGACGUCCACAGUGUAUCCUCUGCAGCACAGCACACUCUUCUCCAAUGCGAAUUUGAAGCCAUCAAAACUCAAUGAACAUUUCAAGAACAAACAUUGUGGCAGGGAUACAGGAAAUGAUAUCGUGACAUUAAGAGCCAAAAGAACUAGGUUUGAUCAGGCUGGCACACUGCCAACAUACGGAUUUUCGCCAACAGAGAAGCCUUUACUGCAUGUUUCUUAUCAAGUUGCAUACUAGAUUGCUAAGUCAAAGAAACCCCAUACAAUUGGUGAGGAAUUGAUCAAGCCAUGUGCCCUUAAAAUGGCAAAGUUUGUUCUCGGCAAGGAAGCUGAGAAGAAACUGCAACAAGUGUCUUUGUCAAACGAUGUGAUCCAUAACCGAAUCAUUGACAUGAGUGAUGACAUCCUGGAACAAGUUGUAGCGGACAUCAAGGCUAGUCCAGUUAAGAUUAGCCUACAAGUGGAUGAAUCAACAGAUGCAUCAAACUGUUGUCAGCUAUUGGCUGUAGUUCGUUACAUGAAGGAGAAAAAAGUGGAAGAAAGUUUUCUUUUCUGUCAGUCCCUGAAGGCAACUGCACAAGCUAUAGAUUGUUUCAUAAUAUACAAGAAUUCUUUGCAAGAAACGAACUUCACCUCGACAAAAUUGGUUCAAUAUGUACCGAUGGUGCACCAGCCAUGCUGGGCAAUCACUCUCGGUUGGCUGCAUUAAUGAGGAAAGAAAUUCUUAACCUGAAAAUCACUCACUGCUUUCUUCAUCCAUCACGCUCUUGCAGCCAGGACAUUGCCCUGGGUCUGAAGAAAACUCUGGAAGUUUGUGUUAAGGUUGUGAACUUGAUUCGCAGCCAUGUUUUGAAUCAUCAAUUGUCUCAGUCACUAUGUGAGGAAGUGGGCCAGGAACACACUGUGCUUUUGUACCAUAAUGAAGUGAGGUGGUUGUCACGUGGUCGUGUGCUAUCUCGUGCUUUUGAACUGAGAGGAGAAAUUCAUCAGUUUCUCCGUGAACGGGUACAAGAACUGGCUAUAUAUUUCAAUGAGCCUUGUUUUGUUCAGAUGCUAGCCUAUUUGGCUGAUGUGCUUUUAGCACUCAAUGAACUCAAUCUCUCUCUGAAGGGAAGGGGAUUUAACAUUGUGACUGCAAGCGAGAAAUUGACUGCAUUCAAAGAAAAACUUGUCUUGUGGAUUAAGCGUGUGAAUAUGGGGAAUUUGGUAAAUUUCCCCUGCUUGGAAGAGACACUCACGGAGAAUGCUACCCUGCAAAAAUUGUUGAACAUAUGCAGAUGCUGUGUACUUCAUUUGAGGGUUACUUCUCGUGUGGAGAGCUGCAAACCUGUGACAACUGGAUCCUGAACCCUUUCAGGCAGAAUUUGGACAAUGUUGAUGAUGACAGCGGCAUCAAGGAAGAUCUCAUCGACCUAAGACACAAUCGUGGAACCCAAAUGGAGUUCACCAGUGGUCAGCUAUAGCACUUCUGGGCUUCUCAGCUGGAAGCAUACCCAGUGCUAGCAAAGAAAGCUCUCAAAGUGCUAGUAGUAUCGUGUGCGACUACUUACCUGUGUGAGCAGGGAUUUUCUUGUCUACUUCACAUCAAAACCAAAAGUGGAAAUCGGCUAAAUUCUACGAGUAGCACUCAGUACAAAGACACCAAAAUAAAAAAAGAAACAACAACGAAGUCACUUGGUUUGCUGUGCAGUGCAGGCAAAACAAUGUAAUUUCAUUUUUAUUAAUAUGUACUCUGGAUCUUUGUCAUGAAAAAAAUGUAAUAUAU